rnacentral:tRNA from 1 species
GGAGAGAUGCCAGAGUGGACGAUUGGGCUUGCCUGGAAAGCAAGUGUGCGGGAAACCGUACCGAGGGUUCGAAUCCCUCUCUCUCCGCCA